rnacentral:pre_miRNA from 1 species
GUGGCUAUGUUCAAUUGCUUUGAUACCUUAAGUUGCGUUUAUCAGCAGUUGAGUCAUUGUCAUG